UCUGCCCGAGGGGUGGCACUAAAACCACUUUUAGUGUUCAAGUGCCCAGAAUCUGAUGAAGCAAGCCCGCUCCAGAGAAGCAUUUCGGGCCUCCCCCAGACAGAAAGAGUGUUUUCAAUCAUCUGUGUUCCUUCCAGCCUGCAGAGGGAAAAAGAAGUCGGUGAUCCCAGGUAACGACCCGGCUUCACCUUCCUUCCAAGUGACGCUGGAUGAAAAUAUGAACCCCCUAAGCGGAGUGCUUCUCUACCUACGAAGUUUUGAAGGAAUGAAAAACUGUUCAGCAAGUCCUUUCAGAGACAACCUGAGGGGCCCCGAUCCCAAGCAGAACUUCAAUCAGGUGCCCACACCUUAGCCUUAUCCCAGACGCGCGUCCUGCACGUUCUCUCGUUUUCUACAGCACGAUGGGGAAGAGAUAAUGACAAUAACUUUCCCCCAAGGUUUUUGCGAGGAUUAAAAGACGGUUUGUGCAAAACACGUUAACAUCACCCGGCCCAUGACAGGCAGCAGAUGGCAGUGUUGCUGACGUGUUCACAGACACCGGGAUCAAGGACUUCCUCAUCAAUGGUAGGCAGUUAAACAACUGAAGCGUUUUGUGUAAGUCUAGGUAUGCACUGUAAGCUCCACUGCCUUCUCCGGGCAGGGUGUCGGGCAUAACUUGACCUUCUGAGCUCCAGGUCAUCAGCAUGAGCUUCUGUUUCAAGCUCGAUGGCCGUGAGCCCUGGCAGAUCUGGGGUUCCCUCCUCUUAAGUGCUCACAUGAUCAGUUUCUUUCUUUUGGACAUUAUCUUCUCAGGAGCAUAGAUCAGAGCGCACUGUUGCCUGUGGCCCAGGGUGCCGGUCCCCAACAAUGUCACCUGCUUGCUUCUGCAAAAUGACCUCUAGGACUUUUGGUUGAAUGAGUCCACAUUCCUCCACUCCCUCCAAAAAUGCUUCUGAGUUGCUCUCAAAUGCUUUUGCAUUUUCAGAGCCAGGGAGAGGGGAAGAAGUUAGUUUCAGUUACAGAGUGGGGCACUCAGGAAG